CGGAGGGUCUCCCCAAAUCCAUCUCUUCUCUUACAAUCUUGAAUUGUCCAUUGCUGAAGGAGCGUUGUCGGAAUCCAGAUGGCGAAGACUGGGGAAAGAUUGCUCACAUCCAAAAACUGAAUAUUUGAUCAUAAGAUGAGUCGCAAGUUCAAAAUUAGGCGUGCACUUCAACAGGUUCGAAUUCUCCACAGUAUCUUUGUACCUUUUCGAUUACCAUUUUCUUAGUUGCUAACGGUAACCCUAUAAUUGCCAUUUUCCAAAAAAGAGCAGCACAUGUUAUACUUCUUAAACUGAUCAUAUUUAUUAAAGGAGGAUGCCUCAACUACGUUUUUCAUCAAUCAAUUACUUUUAUUUUACUCUUAUUUUCGUGCAAAAUUAUUUCAAUUCUUCUGAUGAAAUUAAAUUCCAAUCAAAUGUGUCCCUGUGUGAUGGUAGAGAGCUUCUGAAAGUAGGAAUUAGAAGAAAAACAACUUGGUCCAGGAAUGUGAGCGUUGUCGGAAUCCAAAUGGCGAAGACUGGGGAAAGAUUGCUCACAUCCAAAAAUUAGGCGAAGAUUGGAUCAUUAUAAGAUGAGUCAGAAGUUCAAAAUUAGGCGUGCACCUAUUUCAAUUUGUCUGCCACUUCAACAGGUUCCAAUUCUCCACAAUAUCUUUGCACCUUUUCGAUUACCA
rnacentral:lncRNA from 1 species